rnacentral:rRNA from 1 species
UUGAACGCUGGCGGCAGGCCUAACACAUGCAAGUCGAGCGGUAACACAGAGAGCUUGCUCUCGGGUGACGAGCGGCGGACGGGUGAGUAAUGUCUGGGAAACUGCCUGAUGGAGGGGGAUAACUACUGGAAACGGUAGCUAAUACCGCAUAACGUCGCAAGACCAAAGUGGGGGACCUUCGGGCCUCAUGCCAUCAGAUGUGCCCAGAUGGGAUUAGCUAGUAGGUGGGGUAACGGCUCACCUAGGCGACGAUCCCUAGCUGGUCUGAGAGGAUGACCAGCCACACUGGAACUGAGACACGGUCCAGACUCCUACGGGAGGCAGCAGUGGGGAAUAUUGCACAAUGGGCGCAAGCCUGAUGCAGCCAUGCCGCGUGUGUGAAGAAGGCCUUCGGGUUGUAAAGCACUUUCAGCGGGGAGGAAGGCGGUGAGGUUAAUAACCUCAUCGAUUGACGUUACCCGCAGAAGAAGCACCGGCUAACUCCGUGCCAGCAGCCGCGGUAAUACGGAGGGUGCAAGCGUUAAUCGGAAUUACUGGGCGUAAAGCGCACGCAGGCGGUCUGUCAAGUCGGAUGUGAAAUCCCCGGGCUCAACCUGGGAACUGCAUUCGAAACUGGCAGGCUAGAGUCUUGUAGAGGGGGGUAGAAUUCCAGGUGUAGCGGUGAAAUGCGUAGAGAUCUGGAGGAAUACCGGUGGCGAAGGCGGCCCACUGGACAAAGACUGACGCUCAGGUGCGAAAGCGUGGGGAGCAAACAGGAUUAGAUACCCUGGUAGUCCACGCCGUAAACGAUGUCGAUUUGGAGGUUGUGCCCUUGAGGCGUGGCUUCCGGAGCUAACGCGUUAAAUCGACCGCCUGGGGAGUACGGCCGCAAGGUUAAAACUCAAAUGAAUUGACGGGGGCCCGCACAAGCGGUGGAGCAUGUGGUUUAAUUCGAUGCAACGCGAAGAACCUUACCUGGUCUUGACAUCCACAGAACUUUCCAGAGAUGGAUUGGUGCCUUCGGGAACUGUGAGACAGGUGCUGCAUGGCUGUCGUCAGCUCGUGUUGUGAAAUGUUGGGUUAAGUCCCGCAACGAGCGCAACCCUUAUCCUUUGUUGCCAGCGGUUAGGCCGGGAACUCAAAGGAGACUGCCAGUGAUAAACUGGAGGAAGGUGGGGAUGACGUCAAGUCAUCAUGGCCCUUACGACCAGGGCUACACACGUGCUACAAUGGCAUAUACAAAGAGAAGCGACCUCGCGAGAGCAAGCGGACCUCAUAAAGUAUGUCGUAGUCCGGAUUGGAGUCUGCAACUCGACUCCAUGAAGUCGGAAUCGCUAGUAAUCGUAGAUCAGAAUGCUACGGUGAAUACGUUCCCGGGCCUUGUACACACCGCCCGUCACACCAUGGGAGUGGGUUGCAAAAGAAGUAGGUAGCUUAACCUUCGGGAGGGCGCUUACCACUUUGUGAUUCAUGACUGGGGUG